UGUUUCUGUGCCAGGGUUCGAACCUGGGACCUUCCGCGUGUUAGGCGGAUGUGAUAACCACUACACCACAGAAAC
rnacentral:tRNA from 1 species